rnacentral:lncRNA from 1 species
UAGGGUUUAGGGUAUAGAGUUAGGUUAUAUGGUAUAAGGUUUAUGGUAUAGGGUUUAGGGUAUAGGGUAUAAGGUUUAGAACUUUAGAUCAGAUAUCUUAUUCAUAUUAUAUUUUACCUUAUGUAUAGAUUAGAGAAUGAAUUCCUUUAAUCUAGAUCUUUUCAUAAAAAUAAAGAAAACUACAUGAUUCUUGCAAAUUGAUUGAAAAAUGUUAGUGUUAGAAGAAAAACUCAUAAUUAAGGUAUUUAAGACAACAUCAAUUAAAUUUAUUUAUUAUAUUAAUAUGUUAUAGUUGAAUGGUGGCAAUUGUGUAAAAUUUAGAAAAAAUAGGAGAUAAUAUUUUUCAUAAUUGAUACAUUUUAAAUGUCUAUCAAAUAGGAAUUAAUGGGGUCUUUUAGAGGCAAUAUGCAUGGGGCCUGUCCGGGGGUUUACUGAGGGUAGUAGGAGGGUUUACUAGGGACAAUAGGAGGGUCGCAGUCGACCUGCGUUUUCUCCACCGCCAAACCCCUCACCAACAACAACAACCAAAGCUUCUCCACGGCCAAAUCGCUCACCACGGCGGGUCCUAUCACCGCUGCCCACCUCACAAUUCACACAACUAAUUUCAAAAUCCUCAAUCUCUCUGAAAACCUAAGAAAUUUCAAAUCUCCCAAAUCCCUAAUCUCCCAAAUGGCUCGUACCAAGCAAACCCUUAAGUCCCUAGCAUCACUAAAACACCUUGAUUUGGAAAAUUCAAAUAAACCAUAAAUUGGGAAAACUCCUCAGAUUAAUCCACCUCCAAGUCCCUCACCGCCUCCGACGACUUCCUCUAUUGUCCCUCCUAAGACUCUGAACCCGCCACCGACUCCCCGCCUAACUUUGCCACCGUCUUCGCCUCCCAACACUAAUUCUUCUACUCCCCCUCGAUCUGAGAGAGAGAGAGAGGUCGUCAGCGAAAGGAGCCAGAAGUGGAUGGAGAGAGAGAAAGAGAGAAGCAAGGGAAUCUGUCGGCUGCGACUGUGAUUUGAGGUAGGCCAGAGUCAGCGGAGGGACACAUCGGCGGAGCGGAUCUGGGAGAUCCAGUUGAUUCUGUGAGAUUUGGAGCUGCUGAUUCGCGAGUCUCGGAUUUGGGCUAGGGCUCUGGGUUUGAGGAACUUGAGGAACGGUGAGGACUGGUUGGGUGAGGAGCGGUGGGAGGCGAUUCUUGCGCAGCGGUUCAUGGCUGAGAGAGAGAGAGAGAGAGAGAGAGAGAGAGAGAGAGAGAGAGAGAGAGAGAGAGAGAGAGAGAGAGAGAGAGAGAGAGAGAGAGAGAGAGAGAGAGAGAGAGAGAGAGAGAGAGAGAGAGAGAGAGAGAGAGAGAGAG